rnacentral:tRNA from 1 species
GUUAUUUUCAUCAAUUCUGUAUUUUGGAAAUUCGAAUACGUGCCCUGAAUAUCUGUAAAAUUCGGUUUACUUCUUGCAGGAAAAUCAAGCAGCAGUUUCUGUAGUGUAGUGGUUAUCACGUUUGUUCACACGCGAAAGGUCCCUGGUUCGAAACCAGGCGGAAACAACCCUCAUCGACACAUUCAAGAAGUACCAUAGUGUUAACAAAGAAUUUCAUUAUUCUCUUAUUUUGGAAAUUCGAAUACGUGCCAUGAAUAUUUUUAAAAUUCGGUUUACUCCUUGCAGCUAAUUGUAGCAGUAGUUUCUGUGGUGUAGUGGUUAUCACGUUCGCUUCACACGCGAAAGGUCCUCGGUUCGAAACCGGGCGGAAACAGAGCUCUUUGACACGUGCAGUAGGUACUGUACUUUCAACAAAGAAUAGUUAUUUUCAUAAAUUCUGUAUUUUGGAAAUUCGAAUACGUGCCCUGAAUAUCUGUAAAAUUCGGUUUACUUCUUGCAGGAAAAUCAAGCAGCAGUUUCUGUAGUGUAGUGGUUAUCACGUUUGUUCACACGCGAAAGGUCCCUGGUUCGAAACCGGGCGGAAACAACGCUCAUCGACACAUUCAAGAAGUACCAUAGUGUUAACAAAGAAUUUCAUUAUUCUCUUAUUUUGGAAAUUCGAAUACGUGCCAUGAAUAUUUUUAAAAUUCGGUUUACUCCUUGCAGAAAAAUCAAGCAGCAGUUUCUGUAGUGUAGUGGUUAUCACGUUAGCUUUACACGUGAAAGGUCCUCAGUUUGAAACCGGGAGGAAACAGUGCUCUUUGACAUGUGCAGUAGGUACUGUACUAUUAACAGAGAAUAGUUAUUUUCAUAAAUGCCUAAUUUUGGAAAUUUGAACACGUGCCAUGAAUAUCUGUAAAAUUCGGUUUACUCCUUGCAGAAAAAUCAAGCAGCAGUUUCUGUAGUGUAGUGGUUAUCACGUUCUCUUUACACGUGAAAGGUCCUCAGUUUGAAACCGGGUGGAAACAGUGCUCUUUGACAUGUGCAGUAGGUACUGUACUAUUAACAGAGAAUAGUUAUUUUCAUAAAUGCCUAAUUUUGGAAAUUUGAACACGUGCCAUGAAUAUCUGUAAAAUUCGGUUUACUCCUCGCAGCUAAAUGUAGCAGCAGUUUCUGUAGUGUAAUGGUUAUCACGUUUGUUCACACGCGAAAGGUCCCUGGUUCGAAACCAGGCGGAAACAACGCUCAUCGACACAUUCAAGAAGUACCAUAGUGUUAACAAAGAAUUUCAUUAUUCUCUUGUUUUGGAAAUUCGAAUACGUGCCAUGAAUAUUUUUUAAAUUCGGUUUACUCCUUGCAGCUAAUUGUAGCAGUAGUUUCUGUGGUGUAGUGGUUAUCACGUUCGCUUCACACGCGAAAGGUCCCUGGUUCGAAACCGGGCGGAAACAACGCUCAUUGACACAUUCUGAAGUACCGUAGUGGUAACAGAAAAUUUCAUGAAUUCUUUAUUUUGGAAAUUCGAAUACGUGCCCUGAAUAUCUGUAAAAUUCGGUUUACUUCUUGCAGGAAAAUCAAGCAGUAGUUUCUGUGGUCUAGUGGUUAUCACGUUUGCUUCACACGCCCCUUUUUGGAGUUUCAGGAAGUGGAAGAGAAGCAGGUGUCUGAGUGCUUGAGAGAGAAUAUCGUUUUUUUUGGAGGUCUAGUUGACUUAUAAGUUUGAAAGUUUGUGAGUGACUGUAGUGAAGUUUCUGUGAAACGUUUUUGCUAUUGUCCCCCAUCAGCGUGAGCUGUUUGGGGGAUAUUGCUUAAAAUAACCGGACGGACAACAUGGCUUCGACAUCAAGAAUACAAACGACGAC